rnacentral:lncRNA from 1 species
UAUUAUUUAUAUUUAUAUAUAUGUAUAUCACACAUAAUUUAUAUAAAUAUUUAUAUAUAACAUAUAAAUGUGAUGAACAAAGUAAAAUGGAGACGGGGGAGGUUACUAGGAAGUGGGGUUGAAAUGUGCUGAGGUUGUUUCGUUAAAAUUGUUUUAUCCGAACUAGUUCUUCCACCGAGCACUUUCUUUUAGUAUCACUACAAUUGAGUCGC